GCUCCUCUUGAUCGCCCAAAUUUUUAGGAUAUGGCCUUCUCUCAAAGUCUCUCAAGAUCAUGGUUCAUGGACACCUGAGAACGCAGUCUCCCGCUGCAAUCUCUCUCACUUGCCUAGUUCUCUUCCUCUUCACUCUCCUGCUGCAAUCUACUCCCUCAUCGCUCUUUGCCUACUCUCCUGCUAAAAUUUUUCUUAAAAUCUCCAAGUGCUAGGUCUAAAGAAAAUCGUUUGAAGGGGAAGGGGUUUCUAGGUUUUUGGAUUUUGCACAGCGGAUUAACCGGCAAGCCUUUGUAGAUCCAAGAAAAAAGAGAGACUCUUAUAGUCCUCGGUUAUCUCUGGUAUGAACUUUCAAAGACCUUGGCUGGGGAAUCUGCCUAGAAAUUUGCAAAAGAGAAAGGGAUGGACAUGGUUACAAUAAAUCCAACAAUGGUGAUAGGUCCUCUUUUACAACCUACCCUUAAUACCAGUGCUGAAGCAAUUUGGAACUUAAUAAAUGGAGCACAAACAUUUGCCAAUGAAACAUAUGAAUGGGUUAAUGUCAAAGAUGUUGUUGAUGCUCAUAUUCUAGCAUUUGAGACUCCUUCAGCCAAUGGAAGAUAUAUAAUAGUCGAGAGAUUGCUCAUUAUUCACAGAUUGUAAAAGCUUCGCGUGAACAUCCAACUUUGCCCCUUCCAGAAAAGUACUUGCAUGGAUUUUGUCUUCUACUUAUCGACUUGAGGAUUGACCUAGCUACCAUGACUUGUGAACUUUUAUUUUGAAAAACUUAUUAUGUUACUAUGUUACUGUGGAUAUGGGAUUUUUUUGUCUCCAUGAUGACAAUAUGGUUUAUUUUGUUCCAAUUGAACUUUUGUAUGGAAUGGAUAGCCAUUUAUCAGAUUCUUGUGUAUUGUCUUGUGAAAAUCUAUCAAUUUUUUUAUGAUA